rnacentral:pre_miRNA from 1 species
UAUUUUUCCACGGCUUUCUUGAACUUCCCGAUCGGCAGUGUUGGCGGUCAAUCUCACCGCUAACAGAUCCGCAUAAGAAGCUCAAGAAAGCCGUGGGAAAUUA